GCAGCUGUGACCGAGUGGUUAAGGCGAUGGACUAGAAAUCCACUGGGGUCUUCCCACACAGGUUAAAAUCCUGUCGACCGCG
rnacentral:tRNA from 2 species